rnacentral:rRNA from 1 species
GAUGAACGCUGGCGGCGUGCCUAAUACAUGCAAGUCGAGCGAACAGACGAGGCUCUUGCGCCUUUCACGUUAGCCGCGCGCGUGAGUGACACACGUGUAUCAUCCCCUUAUCUGUCUGGUAUCAUCACGGGACAGCGGAUCUAAUAGCGUAUAAUAUCUUGAACCGCAUGGUUCGAUAGUGAAAGACGGCUUUGCUGUCUCUUCUCGCUGGAUCUGCGCCGCAUUAGCUAGUUGGUAAGGUAACGGCGUUCCAAGGCAACGAUGCGUAGCCGACGUGAGAGGGGGAUCGGCGACACUGGAGCGGGGACAGGGUCCAGAGGCCUGAGGGAGGCAGCAGUAGGGAAUCUUCCGCAAUAGGGGGAAGCUUGGCAGAGCGACGGCGCGUGAGAGAUGGAGGUCUUCGGAUCGUAAAACUCUGUUAUGGGGGAAGAACAGAUGUGUAAGGAACUGUGCACGGCUUGACGGUACCUAGUCAAGAAGCCCCGGCUAACUACGUG